GAUGAACGCUGGCGGCGUGCCUAAUACAUGCAAGUCGAGCGAACAGAUAAGGAGCUUGCUCCUUUGACGUUAGCGGCGGACGGGUGAGUAACGCGUGGAUAACCUACCUAUAAGACUGGGAUAACUUCGGGAAACCGGAGCUAAUACCGGAUAACAUAUUGAACCGCAUGGUUCAAUAGUGAAAGGCGGCUUUACUGUCACUUAUAGAUGGAUCCGCGCCGUAUUAGCUAGUUGGUAAGGUAACGGCUUACCAAGGCAACGAUACGUAGCCGACCUGAGAGGGUGAUCGGCCACACUGGAACUGAGACACGGUCCAGACUCCUACGGGAGGCAGCAGUAGGGAAUCUUCCGCAAUGGGCGAAAGCCUGACGGAGCAACGCCGCGUGAGUGAUGAAGGUCUUCGGAUCGUAAAACUCUGUUAUCAGGGAAGAACAAAUGUGUAAGUAACUGUGCACAUCUUGACGGUACCUGAUCAGAAAGCCACGGCUAACUACGUG
rnacentral:rRNA from 1 species